GACGUAGGUGGCGAACGUUAUCCGGAAUCAUUGGGCGUAAAGGGUGCGUAGAUGGCAUAAUAAGUUAUUGGUGGGAAAUCGAGGCUCAACCUCGUGGAAGCUGGUAAUACUGUUGUGCUUGAGUGCAGGAGAGGUUAACGGAACUCCAUGUGGAGCGGUAAAAUGCGUAGAUAUAUGGAUGAACAUCAAUAACGACGAAGGCAGUUAACUAUUCUGUUACUGACAUUGAGGCACGAAAGCGUGGGGAGCAAAACGG
rnacentral:rRNA from 1 species